rnacentral:rRNA from 1 species
CCCCGGGCAGCCCAACCACCCAAACCCUAUCCCUCCCCAGAUCCAUCGCCGCCGCCCCCUUCUCCCCAGAUCCAAUCUCCCCCCUCAUCCUCUCCCGCUCACGCAUGCUCAAGCCGCUCGCCGCCCCCACGCUCCUCCACCUCCAGGCGACGCCGAGCCCGCGGUCUCCCUCCCCAAGAUCGCGCCGGAGCCCGCGGUCCUUCUCCACCUACAGGUCGGCUCUCCUCCUCCCCUUCCAGAUCGCGCCGCCACCUCCCUCCCCCAUCACCUCCCGCAUCACCCACCGUCGACCUCGUCUCCCCCAUCCCCCUCCUCUCGCCUUCCCCAUAUCCACUGGUCCAGGAGAACCUCUCAUGUGCGCGCGGCUCCAUCGCCCCACCCCGCACCCCGCACUCCGUCAGAGAAAACUACCUCGCCCCGCCCCACCCGAUUCGGAGCCGUGCCGCGGGAGAGGGAGGGAGAUGGGGCUCCGCAGGAGAGGGCCGCUGCUGUUGCUCCUCGGCCUCGUGGCUACGGCCUUGGCUGCUGCUGCUGCGGCGGCCGACAUCUAUGCGGCUUGUCGUGCUGAAGCCGUCGGCCGGAGGCGCCAGGGGCUCCUCCUCCAGUGGCGGGCAGGGCUCCAAGGCACCGUCGCCCAGCGCAGCCUGCCUGGCCAGCGCCAGUCCGUCCAGCACGAAGGCAACAUGGUGACUCUAAUGCAGGCAGCACUGGCCAUCCAGUAUAUGGGAUGUAUAUCCCAUUCUGGAAUUUCAUGUGCUCCUUGAGCUAUCUAAGAACAAGCAGACCAUCAUUUCACCAUCUUCGGCCCCCUAGGAUGCUGGCCUUUAGUCUUCAGAAGUUGGAGCUCUAGGAAGAAGAAUCCUGAAGAAAACCCACACCCAGCAAUGCGUUUUAGCUCACUGGACUAGUUAUCUGUUUAUCUAGUUGUAUUUUAGCUAAAUACCAGAUUUGUACUAUUAUCUCACUGUUACCAGAUUUGUAUUUUACGUGAAAACCAGAUUUGUACUGUAACCAGCAAUGCGUUUUAGCUCACUGGAAUAGUUAUCUGUAUAUCUGUAUCACUGUAAUUUCUUUGCUUGGCUGUUGUAUGAAAUAUUAUGCCUUAUUGGCUCUUUUUGAAUCAAAUAUUAUGCAC